UGGGGGGUCUCCCACCAAGAUUUACUCCUCCUGCCUUUUCUAUUCGCAAAUUUUCGAUUUUUUUCCUCAACUAAACGAAAAAUGUCUUCUUCGAGAGAAAGGGCUCGAGCAAUCUCUUCCAUUGCUGCGGCUGCAUUCUUUUUCCUCAUCAUUCUUCAAGUCCCUCUUUUCAGGGUUCCAUGUAGGAUUGGAAUGUGCACAACACCAAUGCAGGUGACAUCCUCUCAGUUGUUUGCGACUGAAAUCUUCCCUCAGUCUGUAGUUAAAGCUCUUCUCUAUCCGGGAGCCGUUGCCAAUGCUUUUCUGAUGAGCAAGACCAUACCAAGCUAUGAUGACUUGCUAGACGCCUACAAUUUUGCCAAUUCUAAGGCGGUCUCAUCAGCUAUAGAUCUUCGACGCAUUGAGGUCCUGGCAGGGAGCUACUUAAUGGUGGCAGGAGCUCUUCUUAGUCUCAUGAAGCCGGUGAGGAUGAGCUUUUUCGGUGCGCUUCUAGUCAUUUGGGGCCUGGCUAGGGAAGUCAUGCUCGGAAAGACUGCUUACUCCAAUUCAUCAAAAUCCAUACGUAUGUACCCAACGUUGUUCUUUGCAGCAGUUUCUGCUUUUGCCUCAAUGCGGAAGGAUGUGAGAAAGAUAGUACGUAUGUGCAGAACUAGGAAGUCAAUAUGGAUAGACUGAAACAUGAGAAAGCAAAACACAGGUUUCAAUGGAGCUCCGUUGGCUUUCCAAUGGUGGCUGGCCUACUGAGACGCUCGGUCAUCUUUGGUGGUAUUGGAGUUUGCAGAAGAUGGUUACUCACUUUCUGAAGCAACUGCUAAGGAGAAAAUUAUCUGAGGCAGAGAAUGCUUCCCUUUUAUAGUACGAGAUCUUUUAAAAAACCCCACCUGGUUCAGAUGAAACUUUGAUAAGUAAUCUCAGAGAGAGACAGAGAGAGACUAAUACUUACAAACGGAGACUGACCUUAGGAGACUGAAGUACAACCAAGCCUUCAUUAGCGGCUUUUGCAAGCGUUAUCUGCCAUCUACGCACAGACAAUAUCGAUUUGGUGACAGCUAAAGAAGUUUCUAGGAGUGAAGCACUUGCAACAGGUUCCUCAGAUGUUGCAUCAGCUUUAGCAGGAGCAUGGGACUGGGGAGAUGGAGGUACAGUGGCAGUCUUUCUGGUCGGAUUCCUCACCAAAUAUAGCUGAAUACCGUUGAGCUAAAUGUAGAUAGGAAUAAAACAAAGAGAACUUUUAAUUGGACCUGAGCAUGACUUCUACAGGGUGGCUGGAGGCCAAAUUGUGAAAUCCUCUCAGUUUACAUGAAUAAGUGAACCCAA